rnacentral:misc_RNA from 1 species
AGCAGCCGCGGUAAUUCCAGCUCCAAUAGCGUAUAUUAAAGUUGUUGCAGUUAAAAAGCUCGUAGUUGAAUUUCGGGAUCAAUAUGUUGGUCGUGCCUUGGUACGUACUGGCAUUAUUGGUUUCUACCUUCUGAAGAACCUCGAUGUCAUUAAUUUGGUGUCUUGGGGAAUCAGGACUGUUACUUUGAAAAAAUUAGAGUGUUUAAAGCAGGCUCGCGCUUGAAUACAUUAGCAUGGAAUAAUGAAAUAGGACGUUUGAUUCUAUUUUGUUGGUUUCUAGGAUCGACGUAAUGAUUAAUAGGGAUAGUUGGGGGCAUUAGUAUUCAAUUGUCAGAGGUGAAAUUCUUGGAUUUAUUGAAGACUAACUACUGCGAAAGCAUUUGCCAAGGAUGUUUUCAUUAAUCAAGAACGAAAGUUAGGGGAUCGAAGACGAUCAGAUACCGUCGUAGUCUUAACCAUAAACUAUGCCGACUAGGGAUCGGAUGAUGUUAAUUUUUUAAUGACUCAUUCGGCGCCUUAA